GUAACAAGGUUUCCGUAGGUGAACCUGCGGAAGGAUCAUUAUUGAAUGAACUUGGUGUGGUUGUUGCUGGCCCUUUCGGGGGCAUGUGCACACCCAUCAUCCUCAUCUCUCCACCUGUGCACCUCUUGUAGACUUGGAUUGACUUUCCGAGGCAACUCGGUCGGGAGGACUUGCUGGCAUUAGCUGGCUUUCCUUGCAUUUCCAAGUCUAUGUUUUUUCAUAUACCCCAUUGAAUGUAACAGAAUGUAACAUAUUGGGCCUUUGUGCCUAUAAAAACUUAUACAACUUUCAGCAACGGAUCUCUUGGCUCUCGCAUCGAUGAAGAACGCAGCGAAAUGCGAUAAGUAAUGUGAAUUGCAGAAUUCAGUGAAUCAUCGAAUCUUUGAACGCACCUUGCGCUCCUUGGUAUUCCGAGGAGCAUGCCUGUUUGAGUGUCAUUAAAUUCUCAACUAUUAUCAACUUUUGCUGAUGAUGGCUUGGAUAUGGGGGUUUAUUUUGCUGGCUUCUUCACAGAUUGUCAGCUCCCCUUAAAUGCAUUAGCCGGUGCCCCGCGUGGACUGUCUAUUGGUGUGAUAAUUAUCUACGCCGUGGACAUCUACAAUCAUAUGGGUUUGCACUGCUUCCAACCGUCUGUUUACUCAGACAAUACAUGACAAUUUGACCUCAAAUCAGGUAGGACUACCCGCUGAACUUAAGCAU
rnacentral:rRNA from 1 species